rnacentral:tRNA from 1 species
GGAGAGGUCGCCUAGUUGGCCUAGGGCGCGGACCUGGAAAGUCCGUAAGCGAAAGCUUCGUGGGUUCGAAUCCCACCCUCUCCG